rnacentral:rRNA from 1 species
UUGAACGCUGGCGGCAUGCUUUACACAUGCAAGUCGAACGGUAACAGGGUGCUUGCACCGCUGACGAGUGGCGAACGGGUGAGUAAUACAUCGGAAUGUACCCAGUCAUGGGGGAUAACGCUUCGAAAGGAGUGCUAAUACCGCAUACGCCCUGAGGGGGAAAGUGGGGUACCGCAAUGCCUCACGUGAUUGGAGCAGCCGAUGGCUGAUUAGCUAUUUGGUAGGGUAAGGGCCUACCAAGGCAACGAUCAGUAGCGGGUCUUAGAGGACGAGACGCCACACGGGAACUGAGACAAGGUCCAGACUCCUACGGGAGGAAGCAGUGGGGAAUCUUGGACAAUGGGCGAAAGCCUGAUCCAGCAAUGCCGCGUGCGUGAAGAAGGCCUUCGGGUUGUAAAGCGCUUUUGUCGGGGAGGAAAUCCUAACUUCUAAUAAAGGUUGGGGAUGACAGUACCCGAAGAAUAAGGACCGGCUAACUACGU